AACUCCGAUCAAAUGGCUGAAAUUGUAAGAAGCCUGUUGGAAGGAACGAUUGUCCAAAGAUGAGGUAUUCUCCGGACACUGACUACCCCAUUUCCCAGGAUGCCAAACUGCCUAAAGAGGUUGUUUCAUGAGAAUUGGUCACUUACCUACCUGAAUUGGUCAGCAUUAUAAAUGAGCUGAAACCUGAUAUAAACACAAACAGAGACAACGAUUCAACUGCUGGUGAAUCCCAGACCCGUGGCCCAGAGACCAGCACAGACAUAUCCCAGGAGGACACACAGACUUUGAAGACUGUCACAGAUGAAGAUUCAAAUGCUGGUGUAUCCCAGACCCACGGCCCAGAGUCCACCGGAGACAUAUCCCAGGAGGACACACAGACCUUGAAGCCUGUCAUAGUUGAACAUUCAACUGCUGGUGUAUCCCAGACCCACAGCCCAGAGUCCACCGGAGACAUAUCCCAGGAAGACACACAGACUUUGAAGCCUGUCAUAGAUGAACAUUCAACUGCUGGUGUAUCCCAGACUCAUGGCCCAGAGUCCACCAGAGACAUAUCCCAGGAGGACACACAGACUUUAAAGCCUGUCAUAGAUGAACAUUCAACUGCUGGCAUAUCCCAGACCCACAGCCCA
rnacentral:lncRNA from 1 species